rnacentral:rRNA from 1 species
UACGUAGGUGGCAAGCGUUGUCCGGAUUUAUUGGGCGUAAAGAGCUCGUAGGCGGCUUGUUGCGUCGACUGUGAAAACCCGCGGCUUAACCGCGGGCUUGCAGUUGAUACGGGCAGGCUAGAGUUCGGUAGGGGAGACUGGAAUUCCUGGUGUAGCGGUGAAAUGCGCAGAUAUCAGGAGGAACACCAAUGGCGAAGGCAGCUCGCUGGGACGUUACUGACGCUGAGACGCGAAAGCGUGGGGAGCAAACAGG